rnacentral:rRNA from 1 species
UACGUAGGGUCCGAGCGUUGUCCGGAGUUACUGGGCGUAAAGGGCGCGCAGGCGGCGGUGCUGGCCCGGCGUGAAAGCCCCCGGCUCAACCGGGGAGGGUCGUCGGGGACCGCACCGCUUGAGGGCGGUAGGGGCCGGUGGAAUGCCUGGUGUAGUGGUGAAAUGCGUAGAGAUCAGGCAGAACACCUGGGGCGAAGGCGGCCGGCUGGGCCGACCCUGACGCUGAGGAACGAAAGCGUGGGGAGCGAACAGG